rnacentral:rRNA from 1 species
GAAGGUGCCAAGCGUUGUUCGGAUUUACUGGGCGUACAGGGAGCGUAGGCGGUUCGGUAAGCCCUUUGUGAAAUCUCCAGGCUUAACCUGGAACAGUCGGAGGGGACUGCUGGGCUAGAGGACGGGAGAGGAGCGCGGAAUUCCCGGUGUAGCGGUGAAAUGCGUAGAGAUCGGGAGGAAGGCCGGUGGCGAAGGCGGCGCCUCUGGAACGUUUCUGACGCUGAGGCUCGAAAGCGUGGGGAGCAAACAGGAUUAGAUACCCUGGUAGUCCACCCCUUAAACUAUGAAUACUAAGUGUCGGCGGGUUACCGCCGGUGCCGCAGCUAACCCAUUAAGUAUUCCGCCUGGGAAGUACGGCCGCAAGGUUG